rnacentral:rRNA from 1 species
CUUAAUUGCGAUAACGAACGAGACCUAACCUGCUAAUAGCCAGGCCCGCUUUUGUCGGGUCGCCGGCUUCUUAGAGGGACUAUCGGAUUUCAAGUCGAUGGAAGUUUGAGGCAAUAACAGGUCUGUGAUGCCCUUAGAUGUUCUGGGCCGCACGCGCGCUACACUGACAGAGCCAACGAGUACAUCACCUUGGCCGGAAGGUCUGGGUAAUCUUGUUAAACUCUGUCGUGCUGGGGAUAGGGCAUUGCAAUG